UUUGCACACAAGCUCUAGGUCAUUGUUUUACCAUUUAAUAACUUGUUCAUGUGUGCAGAAAUGAAUUGUACCUUGUUGCUUUUUGAAUAUUUAGUGUUUCGUGAAGUGAAAGUUAAGAUAUUACAUAA